GAUGAAGAACGCAGCGAAAUGCGAUAAGUAAUGUGAAUUGCAGAAUUCAGUGAAUCAUCGAAUCUUUGAACGCACCUUGCGCCCUUUGGCCAUUCCGAAGGGCAUGCCUGUUUGAGUAUCAUGAACACCUCAACUCUUCAUGGUUUUCCGUGAUGAGCUUGGACUUUGGGGGUCUUGCUGGCCUAUGGUCAGCUCCUCUAAAAUAAAUCAGCUUGCCAGUGUUUGGUGGGUAUCACAGGUGUGAUAACUAUCUACGCUUGUGGUUUUCCACCAGGUAACCUUCAGCAGUGGAGGUUCGCUGGAGCUCACAGAUGUGUCUCUCCUCAGUGAGGACAGCUCUUUGAAUGUUUGAUCUCAAUCAGGUAGGACUACCCGCUGAACUUAAGCAUAUCAAUAAGCGGAGGA
rnacentral:misc_RNA from 1 species